rnacentral:rRNA from 1 species
AGGGUUUGAUCCUGGCUCAGAAUGAACGUUGGCGGCGUGGAUUAGGCAUGCAAGUCGAGCGAGAAGUUCUCCUUCGGGAGAAUGGACAGCGGCGAAAGGGAGAGUAACAUGUGGGUGACCUACCCCUGAGUACGGGAUAGCUGCGGGAAACUGCAGGUAAUACCGUAUAACAUCUCAGGAUCAAAGCUCCGGCGCUUGGGGACGGGCCCGCAUACUAUUAGCUAGUUGGUAAGGUAAUGGCUUACCAAGGCAAAGAUGGUUACCGGGUGUGAGAGCAUGGCCCGGCUCACUGGGACUGAGACACUGCCCAGACACCUCCGGGUGGCUGCAGUCGAGAAUCUUCGGCAAUGGACGAAAGUCUGACCGAGCGACGCCGCGUGCGGGAUGAAGGCCUUCGGGUUGUAAACCGCUGUCAGAGGGAAGGAAAUUUUGACCGAUCCUCAAAGGAAGUACGGGCUAAGUUCGUGCCAGCAGCCGCGGUAAGACGAACCGUACAAACGUUAUUCGGAAUCACUGGGCUUAAAGGGUGCGUAGGUGGUCUAUUAAGUUGGGUGUGAAAUCCCUCGGCUCAACCGAGGAACUGCGCUCAAUACUGGUAGACUUGAGGGAGAUAGAGGUGAGCGGAACUGAUGGUGGAGCGGUGAAAUGCGUUGAUAUUAUCGGGAACACCUGUGGCGAAAGCGGCUCACUGGAUCUCUUCUGACACUGAGGCACGAAAGCUAGGGGAGCGAACGGGAUUAGAUACCCCGGUAGUCCUAGCUGUAAACGAUGAGUACUAGAUCGAAGGCCUUUCCACGGGUUUUCGGUCGUAGCGAAAGUGUUAAGUACUCCGCCUGGGGAGUAUGGUCGCAAGGCUGAAACUCAAAGGAAUUGACGGGGGCUCACACAAGCGGUGGAGGAUGUGGCUUAAUUCGAGGCUACGCGAAGAACCUUAUCCUGGUCUU